GAGAGAGAGAGGUGAGAGAGGGUCUAGAGCGAGACACCGAGGGCCACACAAGAUGCGAGACGGUGACGUGAGGAUGCCAGGGACGCCGAGACGUGCGCAGAGAGCGACCGACAGAGGCGCGGGAGGCAGCGGGCCGUGACGUGCCAGAGAGCACAGAGACGCUUGCUGGAUGCUGAGCAGGAGUGAGGAGAUAUCCUCAAGGAGUGAAGUUUAUGGAGAGAUGGACAAAUGUGCUUAUAAGUGACAACAAGACAGGACCCUUAGCCUUCCUGGCAGGAGGAAGUGACUGUCAACUGCAGUACCGAGCAGGGGGCCUCACCCAGUCAGUGAAUGUGAAUGAAUGAACAAAGUAUCAGGAAGGUUCUGACUGCUCCACGGCCAUGCAGUUGUCUGGAUGCCGGAUGAGCUUGCCGCAGAAAGAGCCCUGAGCCUUCGAGCAGGAAGCACCAGCCUCCCGCAGAGCUUCACCCACAUCUAUCGUGACUGAGCACGACCCCUUGGCAUGUGCGCAGCAAGUGGAGACAGUGACUCCUGAGCUAUGUGUCAAACAGACAGUCUUACAGUCAGGGCUCAACUCAACAUCUGCACGGUUCCCCUACAGGCA
rnacentral:lncRNA from 1 species